AGUCGAACGGCAGCGCGGGAGCAAUCCUGGCGGCGAGUGGCGAACGGGUGAGUAAUAUAUCGGAACGUGCCCAGUAGUGGGGGAUAGCCCGGCGAAAGCCGGAUUAAUACCGCAUACGACCUAAGGGUGAAAGGGGGGGAUUCGCAAGAACCUCUCGCUAUUGGAGCGGCCGAUAUCAGAUUAGGUAGUUGGUGGGGUAAAAGCCUACCAAGCCUGCGAUCUGUAGUUGGUCUGAGAGGACGACCAGCCACACUGGGACUGAGACACGGCCCAGACUCCUACGGGAGGCAGCAGUGGGGAAUUUUGGACAAUGGGCGCAAGCCUGAUCCAGCAAUGCCGCGUGCAGGAAGAAGGCCUUCGGGUUGUAAACUGCUUUUGUCAGGGAAGAAAUCCUCUGGGUUAAUACCUCGGGGGGAUGACGGUACCUGAAGAAUAAGCACCGGCUAACUACGUGCCAGCAGCCGCGGUAAU
rnacentral:rRNA from 1 species